rnacentral:rRNA from 1 species
UACGUAGGGCGCAAGCGUUGUCCGGAAUUAUUGGGCGUAAAGAGCUCGUAGGCGGUCUGUCGCGUCUGCUGUGAAAACUCGGGGCUUAACCCCGAGCCUGCAGUGGAUACGGGCAGACUAGAGGUAUUCAGGGGAGAACGGAAUUCCUGGUGUAGCGGUGAAAUGCGUAGAUAUCAAGAGGAACACCUGAGGUGAAGACGGGUUGCUGGGCCAACACUGACGCUGAUGCGCGAAAGCGUGGGGAGCAAACAGG